rnacentral:rRNA from 1 species
UACGUAGGGUGCGAGCGUUGUCCGGAAUUAUUGGGCGUAAAGAGCUCGUAGGCGGUGUGUCACGUCGGCCGUGAAAACCUGGGGCUUAACUCUGGGCGUGCGGUCGAUACGGGCAUCACUAGAGUUCGGCAGGGGAGACUGGAAUUCCUGGUGUAGCGGUGAAAUGCGCAGAUAUCAGGAGGAACACCGGUGGCGAAGGCGGGUCUCUGGGCCGAUACUGACACUGAGAAGCGAAAGCGUGGGGAGCGAACAGG